rnacentral:tRNA from 1 species
GGAGAGGUGUCAGAGUGGUCGAAUGAGCACGCCUGGAAAGUGUGUAUACGGGAUGACCGUAUCGAGGGUUCGAAUCCCUCCCUCUCCG